CCAAAAAAGGUUUCUUCUAUGGGAACAGCCAAAGAACCCUUUGGAACCCUUUUUUCUAAGAGUUUAUAGUAAGGUGGCUGUCGUGAGAGAAACUGCCACUUUACUGAUAGAGAAGUCCUCUUGUAUAUUUCAGCUAACCAGUGUCCGCCCCUCCAUGUGGCCUAUUGUACACUCUUGGAAAAAGGGUUCAAAAACCAUUCUUCGGCUGUUCCCAUAGAAUAACUAUUUUCAGUUCCAACCCUUUCCACAGAGGGUUCUACAUUACCUGAAACCAAAAAGGGUUCCUCAAAGUGUUCUCCUAUUGGGACAGCCGAAGCACCCUUUAAGGUUCUAGAUAGCACCUUUUUUCUAAGAUUGUAGGUCUUACAGAAUUUCCUAAGGAUUACCAGAAACCAACUCCCUUCAUGUUGUCUUGCCUGGACAUGCUGUUCAAUUAAGGGAGAGCACAAAGCACCUCCUGGACUGAGGGCAAUCUGAAAAUAACACACUGUGCCUCUGCUUCUCUUGUCUCCAACAGAUUAGCUCAGAUGCUCCCAGCCACGGGGUCCUGUAUGGCUGCGCGCGAAAACAUCGCAGACACAGGUGGUGUCCUGUUCCCAAUCUCACUCAUCCUAAAACAGCUUUGCAGCUGCCAGCGAGGAAAAAAAAGAAAAGAAGGAGAAACAUCUGUUCGGAGAUUGCGUUUUUGUAAGACUGAUUAACGAGCAUAAGCCUCUGUUGCCAAUCCCCCACCUUGUCGGGCCAAGUAGUUUCCAAGCAUCGUCUGAUGCCUAAUGCAGGGCAGAAUUUACACAGAAAGAUAUAGAAAAUAAUUUAGGAAUAAGAGACCUUUCAUAAAUCCCUAAAUCUCCAUCAAUAUGCCAACAAAUUGGUGUUUUCUGAGGUGCACAUGUUUAAUUCAGUUGUAAAGACCACUUUACCUCCAGUCUAGAUAGCAAAAACAUGUAUUUGUUCUCUGUUGCCAGAGAAUAGCGCAAAUAAGGUUUCCCCCAAAUAUGUGAUGUUUGUCUUUUUACAUUGACACCCAGCACUGUAUUGCCAUACCAAAUUUUACACUCUGAAAGCUAGCCCAAUCAAACAAAUAGAACCAAUUAUUUACAUUUUAUAUGUUGGAGAAUGUGUUCGGAAAUUGCUAAACAGAAGAGAAAAAACAUAACAUAUGUAAACUCAUCCAAACGUCAACGUUAAUAAUGUUGUGUGUAAGUUUAAGCAGGGCAGAAGUGGAAGAAGUGGAAGAGGAGUGGAGAAGACGUAGAGUACACCCACCACCUCUCUCCCACACCAGGGAUUAUUGGCCGUGGUCCGUUGCCAAGAUCAUGUUAGUGCCUCGGGGUGGAACAAAGGUAAACAGAUUAUGGCUGCUGCAUCUGCACCAGUCACUGGAAUUGGCCUGUUUUCUAGCUAAUAGAUAACCGACUACAACCCCAUCAUUCACGGCUAUUGAUUCAAAGCAACCACAGGAGGGGUGCUUCACUUGAGUGGGUUGAGUCACUGUCGUGAUCUUCCUGUCUGGGUUGUGCCGUGGCGGAGAUCUUUGUGGGCUAUACUCGGCCUUGUCUCAGGAUG